rnacentral:rRNA from 1 species
AUGGGAGCUAUGGAUGGUGGUCUUGAUCUUCCGCACAGUGACAAGAGAUUUGCUGGCUUCAUGAAGGAUAAGAAGCAGCUGGGCGCGGGCGCUGAGAUUCACCUCAAAUACAUCUAUGAAGGUCAUGUUGCUGACUACAUGAAGUCAAUAGCUGAUGAGAAACCUAAGAAGUACCAAUCUCACUUCAGUGAGUACAUCAAGAAGAACUGA